GCAGGGCCCUUCGGAGAGGGCGCUCCACCGGCCCUGCGCUCCGUACCUGUGCCGCCACGCCCACCGGUCCCCUGCUGAGCCUAGCACCGCCCAUUUAGACCCAGCACCACCCGUCCGGACCGAACCUAGCACCGCCCGUCCGGACCCAGCAGCGCCCAUUUGGAUACUGCACCGCCCGUCCAGACCCAGAACCGCCCGUCCGGACCCAGUACCACCCAUCGGACCCAGCGCCGCCCAUUUAGACCCAGCACCGCCAGUCCGAACCGAACCUAGCACCGCCCAUGGGACCCAUCGCCCGUUCGGACCCAGCACCGCCCGUCCAGAUCCAGCACUGCACCCCCAUUUGGAUCCAGCACCGCCCGUCCAGACCCGGACCCGCCAGUCCGGACCGAACCCAGCACCGCCCAUCGGAUCCGGCGCCGCCCAUUUAGACCUAGCACCACCCAUCCGAACCGAACCUAGCACCGCCCAUCGGACCCACCGCCCGUCUGGACCCAGCACCGCCCGUCUGGAACCAGCACCGCCCGUCCACAGAUCCAUCACCACCCAUUUGGACCCAGCACCGCCCGUCCCCGCCCGUCCGGACCGAACGCAGCACCGCCCAUCGGACCCAGCAGCGCCCAUUUAGACCUAGCACCGCCCGUCCGAACCGAACAUAGCACCGCCCAUCGGACCCAUCACCGCCCGUCCAGAUCCAGCACCGCCCAUUUGGAUCCAGCACCGCCCGUCCGGACUCUGCACCGCGCGUCCGGACCCAACACAGCACCACCCAUCGGACCCAGCACUGCCCAUUUAGAUCCAGCAGCGCGCGUCCGAACCGAACCUAGCACCGCUGGUCGGGAAGGAACCCGGUACCGCCGGUUGGGACCCACCACCGCCAGUCCAGACGGAACCCUAGCACCGCGCGGGGCCCGCCCUCCGACACCUCCCUCCCUGGCGGCCGCGGCAGCAGCACCUAGUGGAGCGGCCCGGAGGUGCGGCGGCGCCGCGCGGGGCGGCGGCGC
rnacentral:lncRNA from 10 species